AGAUUGAACGCUGGCGGCAUGCCUAACACAUGCAAGUCGAGCGGCAGCGCGGGGGCGACCCUGGCGGCGAGCGGCGGACGGGUGAGUAAGGCAUCGGAAUCUGCCCUGAUGUGGGGGAUAACGUAGGGAAACUUACGCUAAUACCGCAUACGACCGAGAGGUGAAAAGGCGGGGGAACGAAGCCUCGCGCAGCGAGGAUGGACGCCGAUCGGUCCGUAAUUAGCUUGGGUUAGGGUAGGGGUAACGGCCCACCAAGGCGACGAUCGGUAGCUGGUCUGAGAGGAUGAUCAGCCACACUGGGACUGAGACACGGCCCAGACUCCUACGGGAGGCAGC
rnacentral:rRNA from 1 species